rnacentral:rRNA from 1 species
CCUANGGGUGGCUGCAGUGGGGAAUUUUGGACAAUGGGCGCAAGCCUGAUCCAGCAAUGCCGCGUGAAGGAUGAAUGUCCUAUGGAUUGUAAACUUCUUUUAUGCAGGAAAAACAUCCCGGUCGUGAACCGGGACUGAUGGUACUGUAUGAAUAAGCAUCGGCUAACUCCGUGCCAGCAGCCGCGGUAAUACGGAGGAUGCAAGCGUUAUCCGGAUUCAUUGGGUUUAAAGGGUGCGCAGGCGGAAUGAUAAGUCAGUGGUGAAAUCUCCCGGCUCAACCGGGAAACUGCCAUUGAUACUGCCAUUCUUGAGUACAGUUGAAGUGGGCGGAAUGUGUCAUGUAGCGGUGAAAUGCUUAGAUAUGACACAGAACACCGAUAGCGAAGGCAGCUCACUAAGCUGUAACUGACGCUCAUGCACGAAAGCGUGGGGAUCAAACAGGAUUAGAUACCCCGNUANUC